rnacentral:rRNA from 1 species
CCUACGGGUGGCAGCAGUGAGGAAUAUUGGUCAAUGGGCGUAAGCCUGAACCAGCCAAGUCGCGUGAGGGAUGAAGGUUCUCUGGAUCGUAAACCUCUUUUAUAAGGGAAUAAAGGGCUGGACGUGUCCCGUUUUGUAUGUACCUUUUGAAUACGGAUCGGCUAAAUCUGUGCCAGCAGCCGCGGUAAUACGGAGGUUCCGAGCGUUAUCCGGAUUUAGUGGGUUGAAAGGGUGCGUAGGCGGCCGUUUAAGUCAGCGGUGAAAGUCUGUGGCUCAACCAUAGAAUUGCCGUUGAAACUGGGAGGCUUGAGUAUGUUUGAGGCAGGCGGAAUGCGUGGUGUAGCGGUGAAAUGCUUAGAUAUCACGCAGAACCCCGAUUGCGAAGGCAGCCUGCCAAGCCAUGACUGACGCUGAUGCACGAAAGCGUGGGGAUCAAACAGGAUUAGAUACCCUGGUAGUC